GCGCUCUCAACCAAGCGCCUUCGAGGGGUUUGGCUUGGAUCUGGAGGUUGCUGGCGGAGGUCGGCUCCUCUGAAAUGCAUUAGCGAUCAGACCCAGUGCUACGGCCUUCCGGCGUGAUAACGAUCGUCGACGGGCUGGACGGGCUCUGAUCGCUUCCAACGGAAGCAAUCAUCACA
rnacentral:misc_RNA from 1 species